CUUAUGAUGGCGACCGGCGCACGGGUGCGUAACGCGUAUGCAACCUACCUUUUACAGGGGCAUAACACUGAGAAAUUGGUACUAAUUCCCCAUAAUAUCUGAGACGGCAUCGUUUUGGGUCGAAAACUCCGGUGGUAAAAGAUGGGCAUGCGUUGUAUUAGCUAGUUGGUGAGGUAACGGCUCACCAAGGCGACGAUACAUAGGGGGACUGAGAGGUUAACCCCCCACAUUGGUACUGAGACACGGACCAAACUCCUACGGAAGGCAGCAG
rnacentral:rRNA from 1 species